AUGUGGCUGGGACCCAGGCUGGUGGCGGCAGGUGAUUAGGCAGCGAUCUAGCAUGCAAUAAUCCCGGCUCCAUCCCAGGAGGCUUGAAACGCUUUUAAAGUUCAUGUGAUAAGCUCCACAGUAGGACAUAAUGCUAAAUGGGUAUGUAUGGACUUGUAAUAAUAAUAAUAAUAUUUAUUUGUAUACCGCCCUCUGGCAAACCAAUCCGGGCAGUAAUCUACUCUCCUCUCACAAAAGGUGGAAUGAAUAGCUCCCAGUUCCCAGAUUUUUCCCUCUGCACUUGAUAAAUGCUAAAUGAAUGAAUUUAAUAUAAAAUUUAAGAAAUUUUAUUGCAAACAUACAUGAGCAGCACAAAAUCUAAUGUGACCAUGGAGCUUAUCACUCAGCCUAAAUAACCUGGCUUACCUCUUCCAAAUUGAAGCCUAAAUUUCUGUCUAAAUGCAGGUGUUUGAGGAGCAGUGGGGUCUCAUCAGGUGCAGUCGGCACACACACACCCCCGCACCCCUCUAGUGCUGCCACUGCCUGUGAAAACCCUGUAGAAAUCAUGGGGGUCACCAUAAGUCAACAGGCAACUUGAAGGCAUGUACACAGAGAGAGAGAGAGCAUGAGGAAUGCACAAGACAAUAUAGCUGCAUCUAGAUAUAGACAAUGUUCUGAAGAAGACAGAGGAUGUUUAUAGCACUGGGAAAUGAUGGCAAGAGUAAUACCAACACAGUUUUCUAUCCUUCAACAUUUUAAGGAUGAAAACUGGGACACAAGCAACUCUGGACUGCAAUCAAUAUGGCAAAAGUUAUUAAUGAGGAAGAGCACACAAGCUGAGGGAGGCUAAGGCUGUUUGCUUUUGCAUGAACCUCCUGGAAAAGACAAGAGUCCUCAUGCCAUUGCUGGAUUAACUGAAUACUGCACUUUGAACUCAGUGUGCAGCAGUAAAAUAAGUUGAGGACAAGGAGGGGAAAUGAAAGGAGAGAGAAACUGGGACUUUUUCAGCAGCUGAAAAAGUGAAAUGACACAGGAAUAACCAGAACUGUCCCUGGCAAAUCAGGACAUUUGGGGGAAAUGAAGUUUAUAACUGGCCUUGCACGUUUAUGUCUAUGAUGUUUAUCACACUAUACUCUUAAAGUGCUACUAUUCCACUUUGACUCCUCUAGCUGCCUCCUGUUGCAUUCUGGGAUUUGCAGUUUUAAGGAGGGGUAUUUAGAAUUCUCAGGCAGAGAACUUCUCUAUAAGAGUAUAGUGUGAUAAACAUCUAUGAUACACAUGCACACAACACUUUGGAGUAAUGUUUCUGUCUUUUGCUUAGUGAGAUAUCGACUGUUCACUGUUGGACACAUAUUGGACCCUCAAAGAAAGAUUGUUGAUGUAUCGAUUGUGAACCCAGAUGGGAUGGCGGUUGAACAGAACUUGGUAACAUCAUCUGAUGGCAUUAUCACUCAGUCCUACAGGAUUCCUGAUACUGUGAUUGUGGCCAAACUUCGAGGUGACUCUGGUGUCCUCCAAAAAGUUAUUCUAUGUUGAUGAUAAUGAACUCAUCAUUGAUAUCACUGCCAGUCUGAUUUGCAGCAACUGAAUGGGAACAACAAGAGUUUCUGAUUCGGGAACCUGGAGAUGGGAGGAGCAACGCUCAAGGGGCUGGCCUGGGGGGUGUCACCUUCUUUGUUCUCUUUUGGUAUCGCCGGCACCAUUUUCCCCAUUCAUGUCCCUUUUUCCGCUGAGGUUGGUGCGAGAAGCAGAAACAUAAGAAGGAACGUCAUAUGUGCUCACACUUACAGAAGUGGAGGGAGAGGAGGACGCUGACAUGACGCAACUAGAUGUUCCACCGGACAAUGCAACAGAGGAUGAAACUGGCAAAGAUGGUGGCACCUUACCUGCCCCUCUGGUUGACCAUGACCCCAUGGAAGGUCCAAGUUUUGAACUGGUGAAUCCCAAUAGUUAAAACCGACACAGCAAGACAGUUACAGUCCCUGAUGCCUGCAGAGAGGUUGGCUUUGAUUCAGCACAAGCAGGAGCAUACAACAGCGGAGAAAAUGGCUGACAAAUUGUUAACUAAUUCCUCCACCAACCUGGGCCUUCUGUUGGUACACAUGAGUGCCAAGGAGUCACGUGAGCAAGAGCACAGGGAAUGGGAAAAGCAGUUCAAGGAAAGAUACCUUGAGCAAACUAAGACUAAAUUUAUGGAGGUACUAAAUGUAUUCAAAGAGCAAACAAUUAUAAUGAAGGAUCUUGCACAAAAAAAUGAUGGCAGUACAGCUAAAGGUAGGGUGUUGAAGUGUGCCAGAGGCAUUUGCACUCCAAUGAGCAGCCAUGUUCCGCUAAAACUCCCAGCUACGGCAACUCAAUAGUAUUCUAAUGGUGUGGAAGAUGCCUCUCAGGCAUCUACUAGCUCUGCAUUGAUGGGAAGUAAUACUAGUCAGCCAUCGGCCAAUGCCCAUGUAGUGUCUAGCAAGCAUCGCCCCCAAAGAACAGUUAAGAAACCUGUCCCUCUGUCCCCUUGACCUGGCAUUGUCACUUGGUAAACCUGGAAAACACUGUUUAUCUCUUUUUAUCCACCACAAACAGUUUAUUUAGAUGUAGCUUAUACAUAUGUUUACCUAUGAUUAAAUAAAAUAUUUUUAUCACAACCCAUUUAUCUAUUUUCUUAUGCAUCCAUCUUGUAGAGCUCUGAUCUUAAAUGGAAUAGUUCCACGAAGACUGGUGGGUCAAUGUGUCAUUGAGGAGACCGUAGGGUAACUACAAUGACUUCGCUACAUACCUUUACAUAUGUUCCACCGGAUAAAUACAAUAGAUGUAGUCACCACAGUACACAGAAAUAACCAGAAGCAAAGUUUUGUUUAUGAAAAAAUAUAACUUUUAUUUCUUUACAAGUGACAACAUAAGUAUAGUAAUGAUUGCACUUUGAUAUUGCAACAUAUGAAACUUCACAGUAAUAGCUACAGCAUGGUUUAAAGUAGUUAGUCUUCUUUAUUAAUUUGUACACAGGAAAUACCACAGCAUACAGUUUCUCUGGAUCGUAAGGCCAGUACCGCAAUCGUAGUGCAAUAAAGUACAAAACAUGUCAAGGGGAAAUGGUUAUCCCUUUCAUUGAAAGGGUCCAUUUGAGCAAUCAUGAUUUGGACAUUAGACCAGUACAAGCAGCAAAGCACAUUGAGAAGUUACAAAUGGUGCAAAAAUGGCCACUUCUAUACAUAACAUUGUGGCUAGUGCCACAUUUGUCUAGUACUAAGUACUCUCUAAGUAAGUAGACAGUUGUACUACAGUAGCUGUUUGACAGCUAAUAAACAUUAUGAUUGCCAUAUCAAGGUUUCUUUCAGCAUGUGCUGCAUUGCAGUGAAAGUUCUAUACUGAACAGCAACACAACUCUUUGAAUUCAUCCUUAGCCAUCAUAAUAGAAGCCACUGUCAGAUAUUAAAGCAAAACUAGGAAAAUCACAUCACCACAAAUGAAGUAUGGAAUAUUGCAAAACUUUUCAUAGUUGAGAAAAGUGCAAUCAUUCACUGCCCAGUUGUAUUGUUAUGUUCAUAGUGGGCAGAAGGCAAAACAAGCAAAGAAAAAUUGGGCUUAAUGCCAAAUUACUCUUGAUUUUCUUUAUUAAUUUGUACACAGGAUGUACCACAUCAUACAUUUUUGAUUGGUCAUAAAGCUAGCACCGUAAUCCUAGUGUACUAAAGUGCAAAACAUGCCUAGUAAAUUACUGUUAAUGUAUAUUUAUAUUUGUAUUGAAAAUGUCCAGAUGUGACAAUGGUUAACUAAACUAAAGUAAAAUGGUUCCUGUUGAAGGCCAGGAAGUCUAACCUGGAAAAACAGAAUGUUUAAGGGCAAAUGGCCGAGACAAGAUGUAAACAUCAUAUGUUUGUUGUUUGUACUGUGAUUGGUUCUUAUGUGGGAAGAGGCUGGACUACAUCGUGGGAAUGUUUAUUCUUUUGAGAGAACAAAGACUGAUGUCAUGUUCAAGUUUUUUUCUUCUAGCAUGGACUCAGAAAGGAGAAGGAUGUGAUAUAUAGUAGCUGUAGCUGUGAAU